rnacentral:lncRNA from 1 species
CGGUGAACAAGCAGGCGGUGAGCUCCCGGGUCAGCACCAUGAGGGAGUACUCCCACCCCUCCUCAGCCCACAGGUCUCAUACUCUCCAACCUGAACUUCAUUAUAAUAGGCAUUUGAAUUGGGAGAGUUUGGCAUUUUUUAAAUGGUUACAACCCAAGCCAGGUGAGGGCGGUGAGAAAACAGUAUGUCCAUCAUCAGAAACCAGCAACGCACCCCCAAAAUCUGCCUGAUACACGGACCCCCAGGAACAGGAAAGAGCAAAACCAUUGUGGGCCUGCUGCAAAAAACAUUUGCUGAGCUUUGAUAUCAGAGGACGCAGACGUCUACCAACGCAGAGUGCAGCUAGAUGAGAGCAUCAAGAAGAUCUCCAAGAUGUUUCCCAACUGCCAGACUGAGCAAAUGUUAACCACAGGCUUUCGCCAGCAGGGUCCGCUAGAGGGCUAGCCACCUACCUACACUUGCCAAAACUAU